rnacentral:rRNA from 1 species
CAGCAGCCGCGGGAAUACGAAGGGUGCGAGCGUUAAUCGGAUUUACUGGGCGUAAAGCGUGCGCAGGCGGCCCGUUAAGGCAGGUGUGAAAUCCCUGGGCUCAACCUAGGAAUUGCGCUUGUGACUGGCGGGCUCGAGUACGGUAGAGGGGGGUGGAAUUCCUGGUGUAGCAGUGAAAUGCGUAGAGAUCAGGAGGAACACCGAUGGCGAAGGCAGCCCCCUGGGCCUGUACUGACGCUCAUGCACGGAAGCGUGGGGAGCGAACAGGAUUAGAUACCCCCGUAGUCCCUGUCUCUUAUAC